ACAUGCAAGUCGGACGGGAUCCAUCGGAGAGCUUGCUCGAAGAUGGUGAGAGUGGAGCACGGGUGCGUAACGCGUGAGCAACCUACCUCUAUCAGGGGGAUAGCCUCUCGAAAGAGAGAUUAACACCGCAUAAUAUCAACAGUUCGCAUGUUCGGUUGAUUAAAUAUUUAUAGGAUAGAGAUGGGCUCGCGUGACAUUAGCUAGUUGGUAGGGUAACGGCUUACCAAGGCGACGAUGUCUAGGGGCUCUGAGAGGAGAAUCCCCCACACUGGUACUGAGACACGGACCAGACUCCUACGGGAGGCAGCAGUAAGGAAUAUUGGUCAAUGGGCGGAAGCCUGAACCAGCCAUGCCGCGUGCAGGAUGACUGCCCUAUGGGUUGUAAACUGCUUUUGUCCAGGAAUAAACCUAAAUACGUGUAUUUAGCUGAAUGUACUGGAAGAAUAAGGAUCGGCUAACUCCGUGCCAGCAGCCGCGGUAAUACGGAGGAUCCGAGCGUUAUCCGGAUUUAUUGGGUUUAAAGGGUGCGUAGGCGGCCUAUUAAGUCAGGGGUGAAAUACGGUGGCUCAACCAUCGCAGUGCCUUUGAUACUGAUGGGCUUGAAUCCAUUUGAAGUGGGCGGAAUAAGACAAGUAGCGGUGAAAUGCAUAGAUAUGUCUUAGAACUCCGAUUGCGAAGGCAGCUCACUAAGCUGGUAUUGACGCUGAUGCACGAAAGCGUGGGGAUCGAA
rnacentral:rRNA from 1 species